CCUUGUUCGAUUGCAAGAUGA
rnacentral:miRNA from 1 species